AACGCGAAGAACCUUACCUACUCUUGACAUCCAGAGAACUUUCCAGAGAUGGAUUGGUGCCUUCGGGAACUCUGAGACAGGUGCUGCAUGGCUGUCGUCAGCUCGUGUUGUGAAAUGUUGGGUUAAGUCCCGCAACGAGCGCAACCCUUAUCCUUUGUUGCCAGCGGUUCGGCCGGGAACUCAAAGGAGACUGCCAGUGAUAAACUGGAGGAAGGUGGGGAUGACGUCAAGUCAUCAUGGCCCUUACGAGUAGGGCUACACACGUGCUACAAUGGCGCAUACAAAGAGAAGCGACCUCGCGAGAGCAAGCGGACCUCAUAAAGUGCGUCGUAGUCCGGAUUGGAGUCUGCAACUCGACUCCAUGAAGUCGGAAUCGCUAGUAACCGUAGAUCAGAAUGCUACGGUGAAUACGUUCCCGGGUCUUGUACACACCG
rnacentral:rRNA from 1 species